UACAGAGGGGGCAAGCGUCAUUCGGAAUUAUUGGGCGUAAAGGGCGCGUAGGCGGCCUGGCAAGUGGAAGGUGAAAUCCCUCGGCUUAACCGAGGAACUGCCCUCCAAACUGCUUGGCUUGAGUCCGGGAGAGGUGAGUGGAAUUCCCAGUGUAGCGGUGAAAUGCGUAGAUAUUGGGAGGAACACCAGUGGCGAAGGCGGCUCACUGGACCGGAACUGACGCUGAGGCGCGAAAGCGUGGGGAGCAAACGGG
rnacentral:rRNA from 1 species